rnacentral:rRNA from 1 species
UACGGAGGGGGCAAGCGUUGUUCGGAAUUAUUGGGCGUAAAGGGCGCGCAGGCGGUGAUAUAAGUCAGACGUGAAAUCCCUCAGCUCAACUGAGGAAUUGCGUUUGAAACUGUAUUGCUUGAGUACAGGAGAGGAGAGUGGAAUUCCCAGUGUAGCGGUGAAAUGCGUAGAUAUUGGGAGGAACACCGGUGGCGAAGGCGGCUCUCUGGACUGUUACUGACGCUGAGGCGCGAAAGCAUGGGGAGCAAACGGG